rnacentral:rRNA from 1 species
GAGUUUGAUCAUGGCUCAGAUUGAACGCUGGCGGCAUGCUUUACACAUGCAAGUCGACGGUAACAGGGAGCUUGCUCCGCUGACGAGUGGCGAACGGGUGAGUAAUAUAUCGGAACUACCCAAGAGUGGGGGAUAACGUAGCGAAAGUUACGCUAAUACCGCAUACGAUCCAAGGUGAAAGCAGGGGAUCUUCGGACCUUGUGCUCCUGGAGCGGCCGAUAUCUGAUUAGCUAGUGGUGAGGUAAAGGCUCACCAAGGCGACGAUCAGUAGCUGGUCUGAGAGGACGACCAGCACACUGGAACUGAGACACGGUCCAGACUCCUACGGGAGGCAGCAGUGGGGAAUUUUGGAAAUGGGCGCAAGCCUGAUCCAGCAAUGCCGCGUGAGUGAAGAAGGCCUUCGGGUUGUAAGCUCUUUUGUCAGGGAAGAAACGGGAGUGGCUAAUAUCCAUUCUUAAUGACGGUACCUGAGAAUAAGCACCGGCUAACUACGUGCCAGCAGCCGCGGUAAUACGUAGGGUGCAAGCGUAAUCGGAAUUACUGGGCGUAAAGCGUGCGCAGGCGGUUUUGUAAGUCUGUCGUGAAAUCCCGGGCUCAACCUGGGAAUUGCGAUGGAGACUGCAAGGCUAGAAUCUGGCAGAGGGGGGAGAAUUCCACGUGUAGCAGUGAAAUGCGUAGAGAUGUGGAGGAACACCGAUG